rnacentral:rRNA from 1 species
UACGAAGGGGGCUAGCGUUGCUCGGAAUCACUGGGCGUAAAGCGCACGUAGGCGGACUCUUAAGUCGGUGGUGAAAUCCUGGAGCUCAACUCCAGAACUGCCUUCGAUACUGGGAGUCUCGAGUCCGGGAGAGGUGAGUGGAACUGCGAGUGUAGAGGUGAAAUGCGUAGAGAUGUGGAGGAACACCAGUGGCGAAGGCGACUCUUUGGCCUGUAACUGACACUGAGGCGCGAAAGCGUGGGGAGCAAACAGG